UUCACUAUAUUUACAGUUCUAAAGAUUAAUUUUUUAGGAGCAUUUCACAGUAAAAAAAUUAAUUCCUUCAUAACAGCACUUAAUUUCUUCAUAAAUUAAGAGUAUUUUUGUCAGUAAUAAAAAAAUUAAUUCUCCUAAGAAUAUUUAGUCAUUAACUGGAUUAAGUGAAUUAAGUAAAUUAAGUGGGAGAGAGAACGUGGCGAUCGGCUCAGAGGAGAGAGGAAACAGGUCGGGUCAACCCGUUCACGAAACCUGAAUCGGUGCUUCCGAUUCUGGCCACAUCUCCGGCGAUGGAGGGUAUCAACCGAACUCCCAGACGACGCGGUCAUUCCCCUAUCAUCAUUGUUGCUGGAAAACAGCCUAUGACCAGUCCACAAGCCCGUGUUAAGUCAUGGAGGACGAAAACUCAAAUCGGCGAGUUUUUACCUGAUUUCGAUCAUGUCGUCACCUGGGAUUUGUCGUUUAUGGCAGUCACUUCAAUUUCUGACCAUCAAACAGUGGCCGAUUUGUCGCCGAUCAGCCGUUGAAGUUUCACGGCUGUCGAAACUCGAUCGGGCACCAUGGCUACGCGUCGGAGCACACCGCUGCCACCUUUGGAUUCAGAGCGAGCUGAAGUUCCUGUUUUGACUUAUUUGAUCAUCGCCGCUCGAAUUCCGGUCAUCAUUGACCAGCGAGGGCAUUUUGGUAAUUUAGAAUUUUCAAGGGUAAUUUGGUAAUUUAAAAUUUUGGGAUAUUUUAUUAACUCAUGAAUGAGGAUAUGAUGAUAUCUCAUGAGCGUUUUAUUAUUGGUUUUAGACCGAUGGUGUAAUACACUUUUGUUACUUAAUCACGAUAAAAAAUAUGUAUCUAUUUUACGUGUUUCAAAAGUUUAUUUUGAUAUGUACGGGGUAUGGAUUUAUAUGGUCUGUCCAUGUAUUUAUGCAAUGUGUUGUUAUGUGUCAAAUAUGAUUUAUACACAUAUAUAUGUAUGUGUAAAAAUUUAUUGGCAUUAACAUGAAUAUGCAUUAUGUUUUUCGGAAAAUAAGAAAGUGGAUUCGAGCAAAUUGAUUUUGAAGAAAGAAAGAAAGUUUUUCGAUUUUGCUUAGUUUCUUGAAUUCUUUACUCGCUUAGUGGACACUGUAGAUAUAAUAUUUAAGAGAUAAGUGGGUGAAGGAAGUUUACAUGAAAACCAAAGUUAUAAAUGUUAAGUGAGAGUCUUAUUGAAUAGUAAUUGAAUGAAGGUAAUUGAAGUAAGUGAUUUAAAAGGAAAUGUGAAGUUUGAUCAUGGCAAAAGAAAUUUUAAAGAAUUUGUUUUAUAAUAUUUUUAAAAGACUGGCAUGUUAUCCAUUUGCAUUAUAUAUAAACAAGUAUGUAUUUUCAUAUAUGAAAAAUAAAUUUGCUUAUUGAGAUCAUUAUAAUUUAUUGUGAUUUUCAGAAAUUAUGAUUGAUUCAUGAUGAGUGAGGAGAAAAACCGGAAUUGAGAAUAGUAGUUAAAUAAUUCUCUUUGAGGGUAUAAUUAGAUUUAGUUAAUAAUUCACUAAAUUUAAUAAUUCGCUAAUUUAAUAACUCACUAAAUCUAAUAAUUCACUGAAAGGGUAUCAUUAAACUUACCGGCAAAAGAUCUCAUUGCUGCAGCAUGUAAAGCCGUCUUUCCGUUGGGGCCUUCAUGAGAUACUGAUGUGCUGUUUUCUAACAGGGCAAGCACCAUAUCAAAGGACGCUGAUGUGCGGUUUUCCAAAAGGCCACGCAACAUAUCAGAACGGUUCUCAUACUCAGCAGCCAUGUAGAGUGGCGUUUUGCCGUAAUUAUUUGCAGAAUAUGGAUAACCAGGGUCUUCUCUUGUCAGUAUUUUCACCACGUCCACGUUGCCUUGAGACACUGCCUCGUGGAGUGCUGUAUUCUUCUCGUUAUUCACCAUCCUAAUCAUUUGCCUGAAAG
rnacentral:lncRNA from 1 species